rnacentral:rRNA from 1 species
UACCUGGCACUGCGAAUCAUCUGGUGUAAAGUUGAUCAUGGCUCAGNACGNACGUAGCGGCGUGCCUAAUACAUGCAAGUCGAGCGAACAGAGAAGGAGCUUGCUCCUUUGACGUUAGCGGCGGACGGGUGAGUAACACGUGGGCAACCUACCUUAUAGUUUGGGAUAACUCCGGGAAACCGGGGCUAAUACCGAAUAAUCUAUUUUACUUCAUGGUGAAAUACUGAAAGACGGUUUCGGCUGUCGCUAUAAGAUGGGCCCGCGGCGCAUUAGCUAGUAGGUGAGGUAACGGCUCACCAAGGCGACGAUGCGUAGCCGACCUGAGAGGGUGAUCGGCCACACUGGGACUGAGACACGGCCCAGACUCCUACGGGAGGCAGCAGCAGGGAAUCUUCCACAAUGGGCGAAAGCCUGAUGGAGCAACGCCGCGUGAGUGAAGAAGGAUUUCGGAUCGUAAAACUCUAGUUGUAAUGUGGAAGAACAAGUACAGUAGNUAACUGGCUGUACCUUGACGGUACCUUAUUAGAAAGCCACGGCUAACUACNGUGCCAUGCA